GGCGGGACACGUGGUAUCCUGUCUGAAUAUGGGGGGACCAUCCUCCAAGGCUAAAUACUCCUGACUGACCGAUAGUGAACCAGUACCGUGAGGGAAAGGCGAAAAGAACCCCGGCGAGGGGAGUGAAAAAGAACCUGAAACCGUGUACGUACAAGCAGUGGGAGCCUCUUUAUGGGGUGACUGCGUACCUUUUGUAUAAUGGGUCAGCGACUUAUAUUCUGUAGCAAGGUUAACCGUAUAGGGGAGCCGAAGGGAAACCGAGUCUUAACUGGGCGUUAAGUUGCAGGGUAUAGACCCGAAACCCGGUGAUCUAGCCAUGGGCAGGUUGAAGGUUGGGUAACACUAACUGGAGGACCGAACCGACUAAUGUUGAAAAAUUAGCGGAUGACCUGUGGCUGGGGGUGAAAGGCCAAUCAAACCGGGAGAUAGCUGGUUCUCCCCGAAAGCUAUUUAGGUAGCGCCUCGUGAACUCAUCUUCGGGGGUAGAGCACUGUUUCGGCUAGGGGGCCAUCCCGGCUUACCAACCCGAUGCAAACUACGAAUACCGAAGAAUGUUAUCACGGGAGACACACGGCGGGUGCUAACGUCCGUCGUGAAGAGGGAAACAACCCAGACCGCCAGCUAAGGUCCCAAAGUCAUGGUUAAGUGGGAAACGAUGUGGGAAGGCACAGACAGCCAGGAUGUUGGCUUAGAAGCAGCCAUCAUUUAAAGAAAGCGUAAUAGCUCACUGGUCGAGUCGGCCUGCGCGGAAGAUGUAACGGGGCUAAACCAUGCACCGAAGCUGCGGCAGCGACGCUUAGGCGUUGUUGGGUAGGGGAGCGUUCUGUAAGCCGUUGAAGGUGUGCUGUGAGGCAUGCUGGAGGUAUCAGAAGUGCGAAUGCUGACAUAAGUAACGAUAAAGCGGGUGAAAAGCCCGCUCGCCGGA
rnacentral:rRNA from 1 species